rnacentral:rRNA from 1 species
CCUACGGGAGGCAGCAGUGGGGAAUCUUGCGCAAUGGGCGAAAGCCUGACGCAGCCAUGCCGCGUGAAUGAUGAAGGUCUUAGGAUUGUAAAAAUUCUUUCACCGGGGACGAUAAUGACGGUACCCGGAGAAGAAGCCCCGGCUAACUUCGUGCCAGCAGCCGCGGUAAUACGAAGGGGGCUAGCGUUGCUCGGAAUUACUGGGCGUAAAGGGAGCGUAGGCGGAUAGUUUAGUCAGAGGUGAAAGCCCAGGGCUCAACCUUGGAAUUGCCUUUGAUACUGGCUAUCUUGAGUAUGGGAGAGGUUAGCGGAACUCCGAGUGUAGAGGUGAAAUUCGUAGAUAUUCGGAAGAACACCAGUGGCGAAGGCGGCUAACUGGCCCAUUACUGACGCUGAGGCUCGAAAGCGUGGGGAGCAAACAGGAUUAGAUACCCUGGUAGUCCACGCCGUAAACGAUGAGUGCUAGUUGUCGGCAUGCAUGCAUGUCGGUGACGCAGCUAACGCAUUAAGCACUCCGCCCUGGGGGAGGUACGGUCGCAGAUAAACUACAAANAGAAGUUAGUACGGCGUGAGACGUGCCGACGGACGACGACGAGGGAGGUUAGG